rnacentral:rRNA from 1 species
AACGCACCUUGCGCUCCCUGGUAUUCCGGGGAGCACGCCUGUUCGAGUGUCGUGAAUACCUCAAGCUGGAUGCUUUAUUGCUAUCUACUGCUUGGAUUUGGACUUUGCCGUCGGCCUUUGUUGGUGAUGGCUUGUCUUAAAUGCAUUAGCUGACCCAUGUUGUGUGUUUGGUUCUACUCGGUGUGAUAAUUAUCUGACCGCUGAGGACAUCUGCCUUGUGUGGGUGGCCAAAUAUGCCUUGGAUUGCUUCUAAUCUGUACGCUUUCACAAGCGACGCUCUUUCAAUUUUGACCUCGAAUCAGGUGGGACUACCCGCUGAACUUAA